AUCAGCUUUGCAGUUUGCCACUCUAGGGUGAGAAGAGCUGUUCCCGGCAUGCUAAUUUUGCCACUGAGCAGGCUCAUCUGUAUCUUGUAAAAGGGAGGUUACCGCAAAUGUGCACCCUUACCACACUCUGCUUCUGCAGUAGGAGAGGACUUCUGGCACUGAGGCUCCCGGUGCUAUCCCUGCUGUGCCAGGGCCGCAAUGACAGUCUUCAGAAGAAUAAAGAAGGGAAAAAAGCCCCAGCUGCAACUUCAAGGAAUGGCUCAAUGUGCUAUUUACGUCUUGACGGAACAGCAUUGCUAUCCACGGUGGCAGUUUGUGAGUGUAAACCUUCUUAGAUAGCUCUCAUGCUCAGAUUUCUAUGCUGCAGCUCGUUAGCAGGAGAGCUGCCUGUGGGGCUGCGGCAGGUUUCAGUACGACAGGAUAUGCACUAAAAUAAAAAUCUGGUUAGGGGUGGUGUGAUUCUAGUGCUGGCUGGGCACUGGCAAUUAAGCCUGGAUGAAAAUAAGACACCUGGACUUUGUAACUCCUGGGAUAUGACAUACCACUUGCUGAGGGCCAUCGCUGCCCAGGAAAGCACUAAAACAGGUGUAUAAAUCCUACUGUGUUCAGUGGGAUUUAGGCACCUGCUUAAAUUUAAGUGCUUGUUUAGAGAGUUUCCUGAAUGAAAGCCUGACAAUUGUGCCCAAGAGUAACUUUUAAAUUAGUUUUAAUUUGCUCAUCAUAACCAGCUGUCAUGAGCCUAUGUAAAAAGGGUUUGAUUUUGGAAAGAUGAAAGACUUCCCAGGUCCUUGGCUUUCCUGUAAGCACCCUUCCCGGAUGGCCAGCACCCUGCUGAGCUGAAGCAGCCCUGCUCAGACCUGCUUUUAUUCCUCCUUGCUUCGUGGUCCCGUGGGGGCUGCAGUGUUAGCCCAGCACUCUGCAAAGCAAACUGCCCUGCCAGCAACUGACAUCACCCAACUGCAUCUCUCCAGCCGUAUCCCAUCUGAGGCAAUCUGCAGGCUGCAACAGUGGAAGAGAGAGUCCACUCUUUCUUGGAGGUUCCGAGUCAGCUGCGUUAAGAUUUGAACAAGAAUCAAGGAGGAUAAUGGGUCAGAUGUAAUUAAGAGGUCUUCAAGGAGCUGUGGGACAGCAUGAGAAGACAGGACACUGCCAGCUGCUGUGUGAGAGCUGGAGCCUGCCACAGCAUGAGAGGGGCCAGCAGUGAGAAACGGGCUGCCUGCAACAGCCUGAAGGUUUAGCUCUGCCAGAGGUUAGAAAAGAGGUUGUUUGUCUGAAGAGACACGGGUGUGGUGAAAAUACUCGGUGCCAGCCAAGUGAACCAAAACACUAUCUGAAUUACAAAGCAGGCUGGAAAAUAAAAUGUUGCUGUCGGAAGAUCUGGACCCAACCUGUGCUGAGAGAUAGAUAGAAAAGAAGUCCCAGGAGCUGGCCAUGUACAUCUGGAGGAAGAAGAGAGGAAUGGAGGGGAGGAUAUUCUGGAGGAAGGAGGAGCCUGGAGUAUUCGUUGUCUUUCCACCUCUGCAGUUCUCUCUCUGCACCCCUUUGCGUGGGAGCAGCUGCGUAUUGCGGGUGAGUGUGCUGCUUCCAAGU